rnacentral:rRNA from 1 species
GACGAACGCUGGCGGCGUGCUUAACACAUGCAAGUCGAACGGAAAGGCCCUGCUGUUGUGGGGUGCUCGAGUGGCGAACGGAUGAGUAACAAGUGAGUAACCUGCCCUUGACUUUGGGAUAACUUCAGGAAACUGGGGCUAAUACCGGAUAGGAGCUCCUGCUGCAUGGUGGGGGUUGGAAAGUUUCGGCGGUUGGGGAUGGACUCGCGGCUUAUCAGCUUGUUGGUGGGGUAGUGGCUUACCAAGGCUUUGACGGGUAGCCGGCCUGAGAGGGUGACCGGGCACAUUGGGACUGCGAUACGGCCCAGACUCCUACGGGAGGCAGCAGUGGGGAAUAUUGCACAAUGGGCGGAAGCCUGAUGCAGCAACGCCGCGUGCGGGAUGACGGCCUUCGGGUUGUAAACCGCUUUCGCCUGUGACGAAGCGUGAGUGACGGUAAUGGGUAAAGAAGCACCGGCUAACUACGUG